AAGAUAUUAGUAAAAAUAUUACAUAACUUUGUCAAGGUUAAAUUAUUGGGUAAAAUCCUAUAUAUCUUC
rnacentral:tRNA from 1 species